UUCACCAAGGCAGAGAAACAAGAUUAACAAAAAAAAAAUUAUUUGCAAGUGAGAACAGUCUUCCGAGAAGAUGGAGAAGUCGAAAGACCCACGAGACGUCGGACUCUGAAUCGGACAAUGAAGGAACCACCAUGAUGAGGUCAGGUUACCCUCUUAACCGCAUGAGCGUCUCGGAUGAAUCGUUCGGGUUUGACAUCCGGCGCCAACGUGGGCCCAACUCAAAGGCCUUGCAAACCGGCCGUGGCAAUCGCUACAGCCGCGGAAAUUACCCGAGUUCCUAAGCAUACUGUAUAUAUAUAUAUAUAUAUAUAUAUAUAUAUAGAGAGAUAGGGUGGCUAUGGAGAUAUGAAGACAUGCCCCUUAGUUUAAGACCCAUAUAAAUUAUGUAUUAUGUCUGAAUGUAAUAAAUAAGGAUACAAGGAUGGAUGCCUCAUGUAAAUAUCAAUGAUGAUAACUCAUCGGUAUCAAUGUCAUGCGGUUUCUUUGCAAAGCAA